rnacentral:rRNA from 1 species
UUGAGAAGGUGCGCCGGUGAGGGUGAAGCAUUUACUGCGUAAGCCCAUGCCGGUCGAAGAUACCAGGCCGCUGCGACUGUUUAUUAAAACCACAGCACUCUGCAAACACGAAAGUGGACGUAUAGGGUGUGACGCCUGCCCGGUGCCGGAAGGUUAAUUGAUGGGGUUAGCUAACGCGAAGCUCUUGAUCGAAGCCCCGGUAAACGGCGGCCGUAACUAUAACGGUCCUAAGGUAGCGAAAUUCCUUGUCGGGUAAGUUCCGACCUGCACGAAUGGCGUAACGAUGGCGGCGCUGUCUCCACCCGAGACUCAGUGAAAUUGAAAUCGCUGUGAAGAUGCAGUGUAUCCGCGGCUAGACGGAAAGACCCCGUGAACCUUUACUAUAGCUUUGCACUGGACUUUGAAUUUGCUUGUGUAGGAUAGGUGGGAGGCUUUGAAGCGUGGACGCCAGUUCGCGUGGAGCCAACCUUGAAAUACCACCCUGGCAACUUUGAGGUUCUAACUCAGGUCCGUUAUCCGGAUCGAGGACAGUGUAUGGUGGGUAGUUUGACUGGGGCGGUCUCCUCCUAAAGAGUAACGGAGGAGUACGAAGGUGCGCUCAGACCGGUCGGAAAUCGGUCGUAGAGUAUAAAGGCAAAAGCGCGCUUGACUGCGAGACAGACACGUCGAGCAGGUACGAAAGUAGGUCUUAGUGAUCCGGUGGUUCCGUAUGGAAGGGCCAUCGCUCAACGGAUAAAAGGUACUCCGGGGAUAACAGGCUGAUACCGCCCAAGAGUUCAUAUCGACGGCGGUGUUUGGCACCUCGAUGUCGGCUCAUCACAUCCUGGGGCUGAAGCCGGUCCCAAGGGUAUGGCCGUUCGCCAUUUAAAGUGGUACGCGAGCUGGGUUUAGAACGUCGUGAGACAGUUCGGUCCCUAUCUGCCGUGGACGUUUGAGAUUUGAGGGGCUGCUCCUAGUACGAGAGGACCGGAGUGGACGAACCUCUGGUGUUCCGGUUGUCACGCCAGUGGCAUUGCCGGGUAGCUAUGUUCGGAAUAGAUAACCGCUGAAAGCAUCUAAGCGGGAAACUAGCCUCAAGAUGAGAUCUCACUGGGACCUUGAGUCCCCUGAAGGGCCGUCGAAGACUACGACGUUGAUAGGUUGGGUGUGUAAGCGCUGUGAGGCGUUGAGCUAACCAAUACUAAUUGCCCGUGAGGCUUGACCGA